rnacentral:rRNA from 1 species
UACGUAGGUGACAAGCGUUGUCCGGAUUUACUGGGCGUAAAGAGCGCGCAGGCGGUCGUUCAAGUCGAUUGUGAAAGCCCCCGGCUCAACUGGGGAGGGUCAUUCGAUACUGAUCGACUCGAAGGCAGGAGAGGGAAGUGGAAUUCCCGGUGUAGUGGUGAAAUGCGUAGAGAUCCGGCGGAACACCGGUGGUGAAGGCAGCCCCCUGGGUCAACACUGACGCUCAUGCACGAAAGCGUGGGGAGCAAACAGG